rnacentral:rRNA from 1 species
GGCAGCAGCUAAGAAUAUUCCGCAAUGGACGAAAGUCUGACGGAGCGACGCCGCGUGGACGAGGAAGGCCGGAAGGUUGUAAAGUCCUUUUAUGACUGAGGAAUAAGCAGAGUGAGAGAAACGCUUUGUGGUGACUGUAGGUCAUGAAUAAGCAACGGCUAAUUACGUGCCAGCAGCCGCGGUAACACGUAAGUUGCGAGCGUUGUUCGGAAUUAUUGGGCGUAAAGGGCAUGUAGGCGGUUCUGCAAGUCUGGUGUGAAAUCCCUGAGCUUAACUCAGGAACUGCGUUGGAAACUGCGGAACUGGAGUCACUGAGGGGCAGGCAGAAUUCCAGGUGUAGGGGUGAAAUCUGUAGAUAUCUGGAAGAAUACCAAUGGCGAAGGCAGCCUGCCAGCAGAUGACUGACGCUGAGGUGCGAAGGUGCGGGGAGCAAACAGGAUUAGAUACCCUGGUAGUCCGCACAGUCAACUAUGUACACUGGAUGUCUGGCCAGAAGGCUGGGUGUCGAAGCAAACGCGAUAAGUGUACCGCCUGGGGAGUAUGCCCGCAAGGGUGAAACUCAAAGGAAUUGACGG